GAUGAACGCUGGCGGCAGGCCUAAUACAUGCAAGUCGAACGAGAUUAAGAGGCUUGCUUCUUAUGAAAGUGGCGCACGGGUGCGUAACGCGUAUGCAACCUACCUUAAUCAGGGGGAUAGCCCGAAGAAAUUCGGAUUAAGACCGCAUAAAAACACAGGAUAGCAUUAUCCAAUGUUCAAAUAUUUAUAGGCUUAAGAUGGGCAUGCGUGUCAUUGGCUAGUUGGCGGGGUAACGGCCCACCAAGGCGACGAUGACUAGGGGAGCGGAGAUGAUGACCCACUGGACUGGAACUGCGACCCAGACCAGACUGGGACGCAGGGCAGCAGUAUGGAAUAUUGGGCACUGAAGGGUGCUCCAAACCAGCCAUGCCGCGUGCAGGAAGCCUGCGCUCUGAGUCGUAAACUGCUUUUAUUCGAGAAUAAUACGUUCUUCGUGUAGGGAGCUGAAUGUACCGAAAGAAUAAGGAUCGGCUAACUCCGUG
rnacentral:rRNA from 1 species